GAGGGUAUAGCUCAGUGGUAGAGCGCAUGCUUAGCAUGCACGGAGGUCCUGAGUUCAACCCCCAGUACCUCCA
rnacentral:tRNA from 1 species